GUGUGAUCUCUUUGUAAUGAAUCAGCUUAGUGAAUUUUCUACUUUCAGUACAGUCAAUGGUGAGUCCAAUAUCGACGUUACACUCGCGAGUGCAAAUGUGGCUGAUUCCAUCCGGGACUGGGAGGUCAACCCUGAAUGUGUGUCGUGUGACCACAACUUGAUUUUGUUCAAAAUGAGCUCAUUCGAAUAUGCUAGACUGGCCAGACCACUGGAGGAUAGGUAUGCUUUGAAAAAAGCUGAUUGGGACCUAUUCCGAGAGAAAUGCGAGGAGGUCUUUGACGAGGCCUUCCUCGACUUGCUUGCACAAAAGCUGCCUAAUAACGCUGUAAGGAUGUUCAACAAGAAAUUUAAAGAAGUUUGUGACCUAUCGAUCCCAAAAAGGAAAAAACUACCCAAUUCCGUUCCCUGGUGGACGAAGGAGAUCGAUGCGGCAAGGAAAAUAGCGAGGAGAAGCAGGGAUGCGCUAACACGAGCGCGCAGACUGCAAUUAAGUAACGAGGAGAUCGAGAGUGCCAAAAGGGCAUACCGUCCCGUGCGUAACAGAUACGUGGCAUUAAUCAAGAAGGCUAAGCUCCAGUCCUGGCGAAAAUUCGUCCUGGAAGAGGGGAACCGUGAUCCUUGGGGGAUUGUUUACAAAAUUCUCCGAAACAAGUUUCGAAGGCCUGAUGCCAUCUGUGCCAUAGUGAUGCCCGACGGCGAGUAUACGCAAUCCAGACUUGAAACCUUGCGCGAAUUGGCCCGGAAAAUGCUCCCGCUGGAUGAAAGAACUGCUGAAACGGCGGAACAUAGACGAAUACGUGAACAAAUCUCUGAUUACAGAAAUCUUAAUCUCGAACGUGACAUAUCUGUCGAUGAAAUUGGCCAUGCUAUCAAAAAGAUGAAACGUGGAAAAGCCCCUGGCCUGGAUGGUUUUUCUAACGAGAUGAUUCGGCAUCUAUGGGCCAUAAGGGGACAGACUCUCUUUAAUCUUUUUAACAACUGCCUACGGAGUCGAGUUUUUCCCGAUUUGUGGAAGAUUGCGGAUCUCCGGGUGGUGUUGAAGGGGGUGGAUAGGGAUCCUGAACAGGUGGGGUCCUAUCGCCCUAUAUCGUUACUGUCGUCGAUUGGGAAAGUUUUCGAGAGGAUUAUUGUUGCCCGAAUCGAUGAAAGCUACUGCGAGAAGGGACUGACUAGUGCCAAGCAAUACGGAUUCAAGGCUGGCAGUUCGACUGAGGAUGCCCUCCUCUCGUUCAGGCGGGGGCUCGAGACAAGUGGGAAGAAAUAUGUAGUGGCAAUCUUUGCCGAUAUUGAGGGGGCAUUUGAUAAUCUAUGGUGGCCAGCGAUUAAAAGCAGGCUUAUCGAGGCUGAGUGCAGUAGCACAUUAAUGGGAAUUAUUGGAGACUACUUCAAGCGGCGUCAAAUAUAUGUGACGGGUAAAUUUCAGACAUUAAAAGAGAAAAUGAGGAAGGGAUGCCCUCAGGGUUCAAUUCUAGGCCCAAGUGCCUGGAAUUGGUGCAUGGAUCGGUUGCUUAGGGGAUUGGAGGACAUGAACCAAGACGAAAUUGAGGUGGUUGCGUAUGCUGAUGAUUUGCUCUUGUUAGUUAAGGCUAAUUCCCGACGAGGAAUCGAGGAGGUGGCGGCAAGAGCCAUUGAAAAGGUGCAGAAGUGGUGUGUAGCCCAUAAGUUGAAAGUCUCGAAUACUAAAACUAAGGCGAUGUUAAUGAAAGGUAAAUUACACCCACAAAGAAUGCCUGCCCUACGGAUUGGGGGUCGGAAUAUUGAGUAUUGUGAACGAUUUAAAUAUCUUGGAAUCGUCGUGGACCGCGGAAUCACCUUUCUUGACCAUGUUAAAUAUCUUCGAGAUAAAGUUACGAAACUAAUUAUGUCUGUGAGGCGUGCGGCCAGAGGCGAGUGGGGCCUAAAAACUGGAACUAUUAGGACUAUUUACAAAGGGGUGUUUAUACCUGCAGUGACUUACGGUGCUGGGGUUUGGUACCACAGGACUACUAACACCAUGGUGCGCAGGCAUUUGGGAGCGGCGCAGAGGACUGCGCUACUUCUGAUGACGGGAGCCUGCAGGACGGCGUCCACGGUGGCAAUGCAGGUGUUGGCCGGCUGUAUGCCCCUGGACCUGGAAGUUGUUAAGCAGGGUCUCAUGAGUAGAGUACGACGUGGGACUCCUGUUAAUUGGGAAGAAUAUGAGUACCGUGGUGUGGAGGACCAGGCUGACGUGGACAUUGCUGCCGAGAAAAAGAAAAUCUUGAAUGAGGUUCAUCGCGUGUGGCAAAACCGCUGGCACAACGAAGUACAUGGAAGAAAUACUUAUGAGUUUAUCAAGAAUGCCCUAUAUAAAUUGGAGAAUAAGAUGUUCAGACCGAAUAGGCAGUUGAUUUACGUACUCACUGGGUAUGGCCCAAUCAACAGAUCUCUUUACGAAAGAGGGGCGUUCGACUCCCCUCUAUGUGACUUCUGUGGGGAAGAAGAAACUGUUGACCAUAUGUUGUUUGAGUGCGAAUUAUAU
rnacentral:misc_RNA from 1 species